AGUGAACGCUGGCGGUAGGCCUAACACAUGCAGGUCGAACGGCAGCACAGUAAGAGCUUGCUCUUACGGGUGGCGAGUGGCGGACGGGUGAGGAAUACAUCGGAAUCUACUUUUUCGUGGGGGAUAACGUAGGGAAACUUACGCUAAUACCGCAUACGACCUACGGGUGAAAGCAGGGGGUCUUCGGACCUUGCGCGAUUGAAUGAGCCGAUGUCGGAUUAGCUAGUUGGCGGGGUAAAGGCCCACCAAGGCGACGAUCCGUAGCUGGUCUGAGAGGAUGAUCAGCCACACUGGAACUGAGACACGGUCCAGACUCCUACAGGAGGCAGCAGUGGGGAAUAUUGGACAAUGGGCGCAAGCCUGAUCCAGCCAUACCGCGUGGGUGAAGAAGGCCUUCGGGUUGUAAAGCCCUUUUGUUGGGAAAGAAAAGCAGCAGGUUAAUACCCCGCUGUUCUGACGGUACCCAAAGAAUAAGCACCGGCUAACUUCGUG
rnacentral:rRNA from 1 species